UGUGACAACAAAACUUUUCCUUUGCUGCUCCAGCUAAUAGUGACGCAUAUGAUGGGUGAGCUUGGAAUGGCUAUGUAUGUUGCUGAUGCUGCAGGUCAUGUCAUGGAAACCGUGACCCCAGGAAAGAAGAAAGAAGUACCUCCAUCAAAAUUCCAAUCCAAGGGAGGAAAACAAAAAGAAAUGGUAAAACCUCACGUGGAGGAGAUUGUUGCAACAGAAGAGACACCAAAUCCUGAUGAAAUUCCUGUAGUGGGAGAAUGAGAGGGUGAUACAGAACCAAGUCAGGAGCCGAAAAAGCAGGAAAAAAGUGAUAGCGUGUAAUGUGUGCAUUACCAUGAGAAUACAAGUAUUUGGUAAAAUAUGUCUGACAGGUCCUCUGUAAGUUUUUGUGUCCACCUACCAUUAUAGUAUAUGUACUAUUUACUGUAAACUGAAAUACUCUCAAAGAAGUAAUAAUUGUGUGAGAUAUCAGAAUGGACACAUUAGGGAAAUGUAUCAUUCUUGCACGCCUUGUCGCACCUUUUGGUGCAAGUGUAGUUUUGUGCCAACAAUUUCAACUUUUUGCUCUUUUCUGCCACCCUCACCAUUUUAAGUACCACCCAAAGUCGAACACAUUUACCAACAUGUGCACAACAAGACUGACACCCAUUACACCUGAAAUCUAUGCCAGCUCCUUUGCUCCACUUUCUGGGACAUGGAACUCAUGAAGAUUCCCCAGAAUUAUUACCUUUUAAUACUUCUGGAGCAUCAUAUGAUAGCAGAGUUUGCUAUUAAGGCUGGCUUAAAAAGCCACUGUACCGUCACACAAUUGGUGUAACUAGCAAAUUUCCUAAUCAUUUCAUUUAAAAAUAUGCCUGCCUCAACCUGAAAAUUGCUGUAUAGUCAUGGCCACUAGGGGGUCUUACCUACACCUGGUGUCAGGCAAGAUCCGUCCCUGGUAACAGGGACUCAGAAGAUGGCUGAGAGGAAGUGGGAGGGGGUGGGUCGGAGCUAGCUGAGAUCUUGAGCCUGAUAAAACAACUGCUUCUACACAGCUUCUGAACAUCACAGGAGCCUCCUGUCUUUCUGCAAGUGUGAUUUACCCCUCCUUAUUUCUUCUGUAAGCUCCUGAGCUUCAAAAAUUAUAUUGUAAAGUAAAGGAAAGGAUGUAACAGCAGAACAGUGCUGGCAGAAGGACAAAACCCCCUGCUUCUGAGUGAAAUGCAUCUAGCUGUGCAGCUGAAAAGGGGGAAUAAUAUGGCUAAAUAAAAACAUUAGGGAAGCCCAAACAUAACUGUGCCUCACAGUUAUGAUUCUACAAAGAAGCAAAGCCAUUAUGCAAACUUUUUGUGAAAACUCAGGUAUGCGUUAAUAAAAACAAGUCUUUAUACAUACCCCUUUGUGUCUGGAUUUUCUUUCAACAGGAAAAUGUUAUAUAAAAGUGAGACUGCUUUUCAUUUCUCACUCCUGAGCUAUGUGAUAAGCCUCAUUCUAUGUUUGUCUUUUUUUUUGUUCUCUCUGAACAUUAACUAGAAUUCUUACAGAAAUACUGUAGCUAAUGCUAGCAGGGAUGGAUUAUCACCAUAAGAAAUAAAUGACAUACACUUUCAGAACAGAGGAAUGGCACAGAGUUCUAAGAAAAGAUGAUCCAGAAUUAUUAUUUUGAUGCAAGUAUGUCAGGGAUGACAGAUUCUGCUUGAGCAACACAUGUUUUAAAAAUGACUUCUAGUUUAGUAGUUUACCAUACUGUGAAAGGGCUGAUGACACCAAAUUUUUGUAGAGCCAUGACUGAAAAAUUCAAAACCUUCAGUCAUAAUCUAAACACAUCAAACCCUAUAGAAAAUAAUCUUUAAAGACACAGCGCCACUUUUGUCGAUAGAUGUGUUUGGUAUUACAGCUCAUCCCCUUUCAAAAGAAUAGGGCUGAGCUGUAAUACCAGUGACAGCCAGUAGCUGUUUCUGCAAACAAUAUCGGACAUACUGUAGUUUGUAAGGCUAAAAAAAAAAAGAUAUACGCCCAUUCAGAUCACCAUAUUAUCCUGCAAAGUCCAUGCAGAGAAAGGCAAAAAAAA